CAGGGCAGCGGGGCAGCCCGAGCUCCCCGGGCCCCAGGGGCGGCUCCUCAGGCAGCCGGGACGGCUUGGCCUGGGUGGGUCCGGGACGGGCACUGAGCCGCAGCUGUGCUGCACACACACAGUACUCUGGACACACUGGGUGCUGUGGAUGAGAGAGAACCUCCGCCGAGCCCGGCUUUGGAGUGGGGUCAGGAGGAGCAGCCGGUGGGACCGGAGCUGGAGGGGACCUGGUCCUUCAGGAGUGACCGAGAAGUCUAUGACCAUGGCCUACCCAGCCCUCUGGAGUUACUCAGUGGUGGCACAGCCCCGACUGCUCUGCCAGAUGUGAUGAGUUUGUGCCCAGCUGGCUGAAACCCCAAUUAGACCAUAACAGUGAUUUCAGCUAGAGGAAAUAAUUUGGUUAUUCUGACUGUUCAGUGUGCUCCUGUCACCAUAGAGGACUUCACUGCACUUGGACAGGAACAAUAUUGAUAGUACUACACUGGGGGGAGUCACCCUGUCUAGGAUUUGGCACUCUCUCCUGUAAUAGCCUGUGCUGAUGGACAUCAAGAGGUGAACCUUUCCUGACCCUAUGUUAUGCACAAGAAAACAAAAGCAGAAGUAUCUUUUCCACUUUACAUGUGAGGGAUAAGUGUUACAGCAUUUUGGUAUCCUUGUCUUGUGUUUGUCAUAAUAUCCUAAUCCAUUGAGGCCAUGUUAAGGAGGGACCUUUGAGAGCUCUAUAAAUCGGAUUUCCUCAAAGUGAAACAGGAUGGGAUUGCAAUGUCUCCUUGGCAUGGCCCUGAAACCAAAACGAUUCUUCACUGACUAAAUAGUUUGAUGAGCUGGUUAGACUACAGCCUGCAGCCAGAGAUGGAAAGGAAGCUGCCUUUUCCUUGAAUUCUGCUCCUUUUUCUCAUGCAAGCUGGAAACAGAACUAACACGAAGUAAUUCCUCUCACUGCUAACCUCAGACUCAAGUUUGAUUACUCACUGCAUUAAUUUACCAAUUCCAUGAUUCGAACCCAUUGGUUUAUUGAUUUUGUCUUAAUAGGAACACAGAUGCAAUCACGGGAUUGUUCAGUUUUUAAUUAACUUUGCAAAAUUAUAGCAGAUUUACCCUGCUGUCUUAAAAAUUAACUCCCUAGCUUAUUCUUUUCAAUAAAACCCAUUUCAAUAAAAUCCAGAAUGCUGGUUUAUUCUGUCAGGCUGCUCCAGGCAACUAGCAAUAGGACAAGAGGACACAGGCUGCAUCAGAGGAGGUAUAGGUUGGAUAUUACCCUUCACAGAAGGGGUGAUUGGGCAUUGGAAUGGGCUGCCUAGGGAGGUGGUGGAGUCACCAUCCCUGGAGGUGCUUAAGAAAAGUCUGGAUGUGGUACUCAGUGCCAUGGUCUAGUUGACAAGAUGAUGGUUGGUCAUAGGUUGAGCUUCAUGAGGUCUUGGAGAUCAUUUCCAACCUAGUUGAAUCUGCAAUUCUGUGAUUCAAUGGAUCAGAAAUGCACAUACAGAAUAAACUAUUUGCAGGCCA